UACGGAGGGUGCAAGCGUUGUCCGGAUUCAUUGGGUUUAAAGGGUGCGCAGGCGGGAAAUUAAGUCAGGGGUGAAAGACGGUUGCUCAACAAUCGCAGUGCCUUUGAUACUGGUUUUCUUGGGUGACCUUGAGGUAGGCGGAAUGGGCGGUGUAGCGGUGAAAUGCAUAGAUACCACCCAGAACUCCGAUUGCGAAGGCAGCCUACUGGAGGUUCACCGACGCUCAGGCACGAAAGCGUGGGGAUCAAACAGG
rnacentral:rRNA from 1 species